GGCUGCAUGGCCCAAUGGAUAAGGCGUCUGACUUCGAAUCAGAAGAUUGAGGGUUCGAGUCCCUCUGUGGUCG
rfam:Ciona intestinalis ciona0641, whole genome shotgun sequence.